AACGUAGGGGACAAGCGUUAUCCGGAUUUAUUGGGCGUAAAGCGCACGUAGGCGGCAAGGUAAGUUGGACGUGAAAGCUCCCGGCUUAACUGGGAGAGUGCGUGCAAAACUGCCUGGCUCGAGGCUGGAAGAGGAGCGUGGAAUUCCCGGUGUAGUGGUGGAAUGCGUAGAUAUCGGGAGGAACACCAGUGGCGAAAGCGACGCUCUGGUCCAGAACUGACGUUGAGGUGCGAAAGCGUGGGGAGCGAACGGGAUUAGAUACCCCCGUAGUCC
rnacentral:rRNA from 1 species